ACGGAUCAGAGGGCUAUGAAUUGGUGCACACGAAUUAGAUAUGUGGCUUGAUCCAAGCCAUCCCCAGAAAACACAAAUCGUGUGGUUAAUAGAAGGCCGUUCUGAAUGUGUAGAAAGGGGGUGAGCCACGUGUCGCAUGCUGGUGGUUCCAAUGGAGAGCAUAUAAAAACUAAAUUUUUUUUGUUUCAUUCAUUUUUCAUCCUUUUCGUCCAAGACUCUCUCCUCUCUCUUCCUCUCCUCUUCUUCAAAGAAAACCCCUCUCAGAAACCCUAAUACUUGCAACAAUUCUUCAAUUCUUUCCAAACCCUAACUCAACUUCUCUAAUCUCAUACUCUCCUUCUUUGAGCAUAUGCAACCCCUUGAAAUCGAAUUCUCCCUCUCUAGUUCUUUCUCUCGAAGCUUUCUUCUCUCUAAGAACCUUCCCCUCACACCUCCCUCAAUCUCUCUUCUCUCUUCUGAGAAGCUCUCUGGAAGCAAAUCCCCGAAACCCUAGUUCUCUCUAACCUCAAGCUCUCUCUGAAACUAUCUGAAGCUCUCUAUUCUACAGAUCUCUUUAUUUUCUCUCGUUCUCCUUCGUUCUUUCCCUUCUCCAUAGUGAUGAACCCCCUGGAAAACCCUAGCUGUGGUAAUCACUCUGAAACCUCCCUACUUUCUACGAUUCCUGAAACCCUAAUGUUUCAAUCUGAAGCUCGAUCCCGAGACCUAGGAGAGGUCUGAUCAGGUAUGUGCGAGACUCCCUAUUUAUAGGGAAUCUAGGCAGUGCAUUUUGGUGCUCAAUCAGUUCCUAGCGGGAAAAUAUGUUCCAACAACCUGCUCCUUUAUUCCCAUGAUUCAGUUAGUGGGGAUUCGGGCAGGGAAUAUUUUAAUAGCUUUCAUUCUCUUCAUUGCGCACAUGUGAAUUUUUAUUUAUUAUUCUUGAAUUUCUUUUAACAACUAAACUUGCUGAUUUUCCUUUUUGUGAAUAGGGGGCUUCAAAGAUGCUCCUAGUUAUUCCAAUUGGCAACCGAUGAUUGGAUCUGCUUGACUUUCUGUUCCCGAUAUUAUUAUUUUUUUAAUAUUCUGUAUUUCCUUUGUAUUGCUACAUUUUCUUUGUAUUUGUUUUUUCCUGUAUUUGCUUGGUAUUUCCCUAUAUUUGCUUGGUAUUUCCAUAUAUUUGCAUUUUAUUCCUUCAGUUUCUCC